GUUUAGGGUUUCUCACGUUUACCCUCUGUUCAUGAUAGAUGCUCGCAUCUGAGAAGAUUGCCUAAAACCGAGUUGAUUGAAGGUUGUAAACUUCAUAUCUAGGGUUUACCCUCUUUCCAAAUCAGACGAUCGACUCCAAGGUUUGAAUCUGCAAAAUCGAAGCUUGAUUUAAGAUGACAUCGAAUAUGUCCGCUUGUGCUAUUGCAAAGUGUGAUUACUGUGGAAAAGGUUGCUCGGUUUUCACUUCUAAGUCAGGGUCACAUGUUGGAAGGAAAUUUUUUAAAUGUUCAAUGAAUUGCC